rnacentral:sRNA from 1 species
AUUGGCACCACAUGUUUCGCAAUGGCAUGGAUUUAACAUACCGCUUCUUUUAACCAUCAUCAUUAUUU